UAAGCGGAGGAAAAGAAACUAACAAGGAUUCCCCUAGUAACUGCGAGUGAAGCGGGAAGAGCUCAAAUUUAAAAUCUGACGUGCCUCUGGUCGUCCGAGUUGUAGUCUGGAGAAGUGUUUUCCGUGUUGGACCGUGUAUAAGUCCCUUGGAACAGGGCGUCAUAGAGGGUGAGAAUCCCGUCUUUGACACGGACUACCAAUGCUUUGUGAUGCGCUCUCAAAGAGUCGAGUUGUUUGGGAAUGCAGCUCAAAAUGGGUGGUAAAUUCCAUCUAAAGCUAAAUAUAGGCGAGAGACCGAUAGCGAACAAGUACCGUGAGGGAAAGAUGAAAAGCACUUUGGAAAGAGAGUUAAACAGUACGUGAAAUUGCUGAAAGGGAAACGCUUGAAGUCAGUCACGUCUGCCAGGACUCAGCCUCGCUUCUGCUUGGUGCACUUUCUGGUUUGAUGGGCCAACAUCAAUUUUGACCGCUGGAGAAAGGCUUUGGGAAUGUGGCACCUUCGGGUGUGUUAUAGCCCUUUGUCAUAUGCAACGGUUGGGAUUGAGGACUGCAGCACGCCUUCAUGGCCGGGGUUUUGCCCACGUACGUGCKUAGGA
rnacentral:rRNA from 1 species